rnacentral:rRNA from 1 species
UACGAAGGGGGCGAGCGUUGUUCGGAAUCACUGGGCGUAAAGGGCGCGUAGGCGGCCCUCCUAGUCGCGUGUGAAAGCCCCGGGCUCAACCUGGGAACGGCGCGCGAAACGGGGGGGCUGGAGUUCGGGAGAGGAGCGUGGAAUUCCCAGUGUAGAGGUGAAAUUCGUAGAUAUUGGGAAGAACACCGGUGGCGGAAAGGCGGCGCU